GCGGUGGGGCUGGGGCGUGGCGAGCGGGAUGGCGCAGCAGCUUGGCCCGCACGAACUGCAGCACAUCUUCUCUUUCCUGGAGGCCAGGGACCUGCUGUGCGCUGCGCAGGUGAACAAGGUCUGGAAUGAGGUUUCAAUGACCAAGGAACUGUGGAGACAGCUGUGUCUGAGGCGAUGGGCCCCCUGCAAGGCCUUCCCCAUGGCCGUGGGCACGCAGACAUGGAGGCAGUACUAUUUCUGCCGGUCUGAGCUAGAGUUCCGUAUGAAAUCUGGGCGUCCACAGGACUUCAUCUGCAAAGCUAUUUCUGGGCACACAGGAAUGAUAGAGCAGCUGGCCUACGUCUCACCCAGCGAGUACCGCUUUGAUGAAAGGGCAAGGUCGGUGGUUUGCACUGUGUCUUCAGACUGUACCGUGAGUGCCUGGGAUCUGCAGGAGGGCACGGAGAUCUGGUCGAGUGCUGUGCAGCCUGCUCCUCUGGUGAAUUUGGUGGCUUAUCCUCAGCUGCAGCUGGUUGUCACUGUGGACACACAGGGCUUGAUCAUGGUGUGGAACACAGAGACUGGGUCUGAAUGUGCCUCCUUCAGCUUACCGACCUCCUGUUCUUCAAUGGAAGCCUGUGAGCACCCAGAGGGCCCCUUCUUGCUGGUAGCCUGUGACGAAGGGACCCUCUACAUUAUGACAGUACCUCAGCUGCAGGUGGUCUCCAGAGUGUCCACAUUCCCUCACACCUCUGUGAGCCUUCUGUGCUCACCUGACACACAGUGGGUAUUUGUGUCUGCACAAGGCUCAGAUAUAGGCCCAAAGGUGUUCUACACUCAGCCCUUGCUACACCCAUCAGAAGACAGACUUCCUGUUUCCACUACCCUUCCCAUCAGGCUGAGCUCCAGAGCUUGCUGGGCUCCAGAUGAGGCUGCCAGGCUGAUGGUGAUACACAGAGAUGACAGUGGCGUACAUCUGGUUAUCACUACCUUCGAGUUAAAGGCCACCAAGUCCAGGGACAGAGUGAGCCUCCUGGCAGCUGGCCAGCUUCCCCCUGCCAGACACUAUGACUCCUCACCUCAUACAGGGCCACGGCUCCCAAACGAUCCUGCUCACCUCCAGGUCCGAGCUGGCGCUGUUCACCAUACAUGGCCUGCAGCUGAUGGCUUUCCAGGACCACCAGAGGCCCAUCACAUCUAUUUGGGUGGUGAGUGUGGCACCUCCCGCCUGAGGCAUGCUUCCCACGCUUGGGAAUCCAUGGCUGUAGCUCACUUGACUUCAUUUCAAGGAUCCAGACCGUGUCAUCACUGCUGCCUUGGACCUGUCCUUGCGUGUUUAUGUGUGGAAUAAAAAGAAAACAUCCCCUGUCCUCGAGAGCUGUUAUCAUUUGCUCGGGGGUUCUCACAGAUGGGCCAGUGGAUUUACCCACGUGAAGAGCGACGGCAGAAGCAUUGUUGGGGUGGAAGCCAGAAGCACGGGGACAAGUAUUCUGAGGUCAUAUUGCUUCAAAGUUAAGGGUGGCUAGGCACCACCAGUGGAAGAUGCUCUUGUUUGGUGUGUAUGCAAAAUCCUUACCAAAGAUUUUGUCAACUUUGGAAAAAGAACUAGCAAGAUGCCUGCUGUCUUCUCACAGCGAGCCAAUGAAGUGGUUUCUAUCAUCUUAUGUUUCACUGUCCUGCUCAGAAAGACAAAGAGAAUGAGUACCAUCUUCAGCAGGUUUCCAAGGUGCAGCUAGUCACAGACGGAGUGGACUCUGUGGUACUGCUAGAGUAACAGCUUGCUUGUUUACAGUCUCCAGAUGGCAACAGAAUUGUUUUGUUGUCAAGAAUGUAAUUAAAAUAUUUUUAUCUGCC